UACGGAGGGGGCUAGCGUUGUUCGGAAUUACUGGGCGUAAAGCGCGCGUAGGCGGACCUGCAAGUCGGGGGUGAAAGCCCGAGGCUCAACCUCGGAACUGCCUUCGAUACUGCGGGUCUCGAGUCCGGGAGAGGUGAGUGGAAUUCCUAGUGUAGAGGUGAAAUUCGUAGAUAUUAGGAAGAACACCAGUGGCGAAGGCGGCUCACUGGCGUCGGUACUGACGCUGGAGGCGCGAAAGCGUGGGGAGCAAACAGG
rnacentral:rRNA from 1 species